rnacentral:rRNA from 1 species
AUUGAACGCUGGCGGCAGGCCUAACACAUGCAAGUCGGGCGGGUGAAGGGAGCUUGCUUCUGGAUUCAGCGGCGGACGCGUAAGUACUGCCUCGUAAUCUGCCUGGUAGUGGGGGAUAACGUCCGGAAAAGGGCGCUAAUACCGCAUACGUCCUGAGGGUGCGCGUGGGGGAUCUUCGGACCCCACGCUAUCAGAUGAGCCUAGGUCGGCUUAGCUAGUUGGUGGGGUAAAGGCCUACCAAGGCGACGAUCCGUAACUGGUCAGAGAGGAGGCUCAGUCACACUGGGACUGAGACACGAGCCAGACUGCUACGGGGGGAAGGAGCAGGGAAUAUUGGACAGUGGGCGUAAGCCUGAUCCAGCCAUGCGGGGUGUGUUAAGAAGGUCUUCGGAUGGUAAAGCACAUGAAGUAGGGAUGAAGGGCAGUAAGUUAAUACCUUGCUGUAUUGACGUUACCUACAGAAUAAGCACCGGCUAACUUCGUG